rnacentral:tRNA from 1 species
GGGGAUAUAGCUCAGUUGGUAGAGUACUUGCCUCACAUGCACAAGGCCCUGGGUUCAAUCCCCAGUACCACCA